rnacentral:rRNA from 1 species
CAGAGGCCCCAAGCGUUACUGAGAAUCACGUGGGUUUAAAGGGUGCGUAGGUGGCGCGUUAAGUCCGUUGUGAAAGCCCUGGGCUCAACCCAGGAACUGCUUCGGAUACUGGCGCGCUUGAGGCUAGUAGGGGUCACUGGAACUGACGGUGGAGCGGUGAAAUGCGUAGAUAUCGUCAGGAACGCCAAUGGUGAAGACAGGUGACUGGGCUAGUUCUGACACUGAGGCACGAAAGCGUGGGGAGCGAACGGGAUUAGAUACCCCGGUAGUCCACGCCCUAAACGAUGCAGACUAGACUGCAGCGGGUUACACCCCGUUGCGGUCGGAGCGAAAUUGUUAAGUCUGCCACCUGGGAAGUACGGUCGCAAGGCUA